CACCUGGUUGAUCCUGCCAGUAGUCAUAUGCUUGUCUCAAAGAUUAAGCCAUGCAUGUCUAAGUAUAAGCUUUAAACGGCGAAACUGCGAAUGGCUCAUUAAAACAGUUAUAGUUUAUUUGGUGAUCGAUUACUAUUUGGAUAACCGUAGUAAUUCUAGAGCUAAUACAUGCGUCAAGGCCCGACUCGGA
rnacentral:ncRNA from 1 species